rnacentral:rRNA from 1 species
UUUAUGGAGAGUUUGAUCCUGGCUCAGGAUGAACGCUGGCGGCGUGCCUAAUACAUGCAAGUCGAGCGAACAGACGAGGAGCUUGCUCCUCUAACGUUAGCGGCGGACGGGUGAGUAACACGUGGAUAACCUACCUAUAAGACUGGGAUAACUUCGGGA